CAGCAGCCGCGGUAAUACGUAGGUGGCAAGCGUUGUCCGGAUUUAUUGGGCGUAAAGCGAGCGCAGGCGGUCAAUUAAGUCUGAUGUGAAAGCCCCCGGCUCAACCGGGGAGGGUCAUUGGAAGCUGGUUGACUUGAGUGCAGAAGAGGAGAGUGGAAUUCCAUGUGUAGCGGUGAAAUGCGUAGAUAUAUGGAGGAACACCAGUGGCGAAGGCGACUCUCUGGUCUGUAACUGACGCUGAGGCUCGAAAGCGUGGGUAGCAAACAGGAUUAGAUACCCCAGUAGUCCCUGUCUCUUAUAC
rnacentral:rRNA from 1 species